GCUUGUUUGUGGCUCUGAAUUGUUAGUUGGGUAGUCUCCCAAAUAUUGAUUCUCUGAAAUAAUUCUUGAAUUACGAGUGAAUUCGUUCAAAUAUCCUUUAUUUUAUUUCUAAAAGUGUGAAUUAACAACACUUGGAGGUGAAUUGGAUACUACGAGCAUACGUAGAAGGUGAUCAUAACCAUAUAAUAUUGGUUGUCUGAACCAACCAACACUGGUACUGCAAGGGUUAAUUUCCGCAACUAUAACCACCGAUGAAUGAAACGCGUCAAGCCGCUGCUGGUAGCAACUGAAAAAUCAAGUCUUGCUGCGAUAUUUAAGGCAAACAUCUAAUAAAUUUCAAACACAAGUUAAAAAAAAAAAAAAAAAAAAA